rnacentral:rRNA from 1 species
CAUGUUCUUUUGAUUAUAAUUUAAGAUCUAAUCUGCUCAAUGUAUAAUAAAUAGCCGCAGUAUAUUAACUGUGCGAAGGUAGCAUAAUAAAUAGUUUUUUAAAUGGAAACUUGAAUGAAUGAUUGGACGAGAUUAUUACUGUCUCUAUUUAAAUGUUAUUGAAUUUUAUUUUUAAGUUAAAAAGCUUAAAUUUUUGUAAAAGACGAGAAGACCCUAUAGAGUUUAAUAUAAUUAAAAAAGUAAUUUUUAGAAAAAAUAUUUUUUUUAUUAUAUUUGGUUGGGGUGACUUGAGAAUUAAAUUAAUUUCUUAAAUUUUUAGUUAAUGAUUUUUAAAUUUUUUAUGUUUUUUUUAAGAUAUAAUAUAAAUUACCUUAGGGAUAACAGCGUAAUCUUUUUUAAAAGCUCAAAUUAUAAGAAAGUUUUGCGACCUCGAUGUUGGAUUAAAAUUAAUUUUUGGUGCAGUAGCUUAAAAAUUAGGUCUGUUCGACCUUUAAAAUU